CUACGGGAGGCACCAGUGGGGAAUAUUGGACAAUGGGGGAAACCCUGAUCCAGCAAUGCCGCGUGUGUGAAGAAGGCCUGCGGGUUGUAAAGCACUUUCGGUUGGGAGGACUGCUUCUAGCACUAAUAUUGUUGGAAGUUGACGUUACCUUCAGAAGAAGCACCGGCUAACUCCGUGCCAGCAGCCGCGGUAAUACGGAGGGUGCAAGCGUUAAUCGGAAUUACUGGGCGUAAAGCGCGCGUAGGCGGCUAGAUCAGUCGGGUGUGAAAGCCCCGGGCUUAACCUGGGAACUGCAUCCGAUACUGUCUAGCUUGAGUACGGGAGAGGAGAGUGGAAUUCCACAUGUAGCGGUGAAAUGCGUAGAUAUGUGGAGGAACACCAAUGGCGAAGGCAGCUCUCUGGCCUGAUACUGACGCUGAGGUGCGAAAGCGUGGGGAGCAAACAGGGUUAGAUACCCUCGUAGUC
rnacentral:rRNA from 1 species